GGAGAGGUACUCAAGUCUGGUUAAGAGGACGGUUUGCUAAGCCGUUAGGUCGUUAAUUCGGCGCGUGGGUUCGAAUCCCAUCCUCUCCA
rnacentral:tRNA from 1 species